UACGUAGGGGGCAAGCGUUGUCCGGAAUCAUUGGGCGUAAAGAGCGUGUAGGCGGCCAGAUAAGUCCGCUGUGAAAACUCGAGGCUCAACCUGGGAACUGCGUCCGAUACUGGCAGGCUUGAAUCCGGGAGAGGGAUGUGGAAUUCCAGGUGUAGCGGUGAAAUGCGUAGAUAUCUGGAGGAACACCGGUGGCGAAGGCGGCAUCCUGGACCGGUAUUGACGCUGAGGCGCGAAAGCUAGGGGAGCAAACGGG
rnacentral:rRNA from 1 species